UCGGACGCUCAACCGGCUGAGCCCCCCAGGAGCCCCGGGACUGUGAUUUGUUUUUUGUUUUUUGUUUUUUUAAUGGUCAAAUCAGUUUCACUGAAUGGGAUACGCUUCUCCAUUUUCAGCAGUUGACGGACAUUUGGGUUGUUUCCAUUUCUGGGCUGUUAUGCACGAGGCUGCUGGGUGCAUUCGUGUCCGUGUGACUUUUGUCAACAGACGCUCUGGUGUCUACCUAGCAGUGGCAUUGCUGAGUCGUGCGGUAGCUCUGGGGGUGGGGGGACUCUGGACGAACCCCCAGGCUGCUCCCCGAAGGGCUGCACCGUUUUGCGUUCCCGCCAGUGGUACAGGGAUUUCUCCACACCCUCCCCGACGUUUGUCACUGUCUUUAUUAUUACGACCACCCUAGGCGGCUGAGCUCCUGGCUUCCCCCUUGGCCCCUCUCCAGCCUCACAUCCUCUUCUUGGCUGCCUGCAGCGCUGGGGACACAGAGAGCGCCCAGAGCGACGACGACACAGUACGUCACGGUGAGCGCAUGGGGCUUCGCCUCUAGGUCUAAGCUCUUGGAGCUUCACUGAUGGGCCGGUGGCCUCACGGAGGCCACAUCCCGGUAGAAUUGAAACCGCUUUGUGAGCGGCAGAAAGAGGGACAGCUGGGGAGGAAGAGAGAAAAGAGGAAAUGCCUUAGAGCCGCCACCUGGAGAUUCAGAGCCCGGAGCCCGCGGGAGAGUGUGCUGUCCCCUGCCGGGGGGUGAAGACCGAACACAAAAGGGAAGGGAGGGUACAAAACAACGCUGUCCCUGCUGUCCCUCCUUUGCUACAUUCCGCCCCUGAAUUCCCAGCUCGGGAGCCCUUUAUUUACCGAAAACGCGUCCAGGAUCCACGGCCUUAGACACUUGGUUCGUGUGUCCUCUUGCGAGCAUUCUGAGACCCCCUCGGAACAAAUGUUGACCGAUGGCUCUGCUGUCCCUCGGGAGCUCUUCUCUCUGGGAAUACCCUCUCUUUCCAAGUAGAUGAACCAGACUCAAAACGGAUAUGGUUAUAAUCCACUUUGAACACCGUUCCCCUCCCCCAUCCUGUUCUUUUCCCUUGUCAGAGAAACUGCAAUCAAGAAUCUCAUUGCGUUUCUCUGCCAUUCA